ensembl:miRNA MIR653 microRNA 653
UCAUUCCUUCAGUGCUGAAACAAUCUCUACUGAACCGGCUCCAAACAAAGUUCACUGGAGAUUGUUUCAAUAUUGCAAGAAUGAUAAGAU